rnacentral:misc_RNA from 1 species
UUGAAUAAAAUCUGGCGUUGGUUGUAGCUGGCUCUCCGGAGCAUGUGCUCGCCCGUCACCUUUAUCUUUCCACCUGUGCACACACUGUAGUCCUGGAUACCUCUCGCCGCAAGGCGGAUGCAGGGAUUGCCGCGUCCUCCUCGCGAGGUCGGCUCUCUCUGAAUUUCCAGGGCUAUGAAAUUUACACACCCCAAACGUAUGUCAUAGAAUGUCAUCACUAGGCUUCGUGCCUAUAAACCUAUA